rnacentral:tRNA from 1 species
UCAAGCUAUAGUUUAAUUAAAAUAUUAGUUUUGGGUACUGAAGAUGUUUUUUGCUAGCUUGAA